ensembl:snRNA
GUGUUGUAUGAAAGAAGAAAAGGCUAGCACCCCCCUUGACAAGGACAGAAGAGGACCUUAGGCCUGUACCACAUGCAUACAGUUAAGGCAUUGCCACCUACUUCAUGACUUCUAACCACAGUUUUUA